UUUGGAGAGUUUGAUCCUGGCUCAGGACGAACGCUGGCGGCGUGCCUAAUACAUGCAAGUCGAGCGGAGCUUAUCCUUCGGGGUAAGCUUAGCGGCGGACGGGUGAGUAACACGUAGGCAACCUACCCUCUAGACUGGGAUAACUACCGGAAACGGUAGCUAAUACCGGAUAAUUCCUUCACCCUCAUGGGCGAGGGAUGAAAGGCGGAGCAAUCUGCUACUAGAGGAUGGGCCUGCGGCGCAUUAGCUAGUUGGUGGGGUAA
rnacentral:rRNA from 1 species